rnacentral:rRNA from 1 species
UACGUAGGGAGCAAGCGUUGUCCGGAAUCAUUGGGCGUAAAGCGCGCGUAGGUGGCUUCGUAAGUCCGUUGUGAAAGUCAAAGGCUCAACCUUUGAAAGCCGAUGGAUACUGUGAAGCUAGAGUACGGAAGAGGCGAGUGGAAUUCCUGGUGUAGCGGUGGAAUGCGCAGAUAUCAGGAGGAACACCAAUAGCGAAGGCAGCUCGCUGGGACGUUACUGACACUGAGCACGAAAGCGUGGGGAGCGAACAGG